rnacentral:rRNA from 1 species
UACAGAGGGUGCGAGCGUUGUCCGGAAUCACUGGGCGUAAAGGGCGCGUAGGCGGCUUGAUAAGCGUGCGGUGAAAGCCCGGGGCUCAACCCCGGGUCGGCCGUGCGAACUGUCGAGCUGGAGCACUGUAGAGGCAGGUGGAAUUCCGGGUGUAGCGGUGGAAUGCGUAGAGAUCCGGAAGAACACCGGUGGCGAAGGCGGCCUGCUGGGCAGUGGCUGACGCUGAGGCGCGACAGCGUGGGGGGCAAACAGG